rnacentral:lncRNA from 1 species
AUGCGAUGUCAAAGUGGUAAAGAAUUUAAAAAAAAUUGUGAUUGGUUGAAAGGGGUUGGGACCCACCAUUAAACCCCUUCUCUCCUCCUUCCCUCCUCUUCCCGCAUCGGUGAGUAUACACCGAAGAAACCUCUCCCCACUCACCGAUCCACCACCGGCACCCCUUCCCUGUGCGGCAACCCCUCUCCCCGAUUCCCUUUCCUGCAACGAUACCGUGUACCCUAAGGGCGGUCUUGGGUUGGGUGUACUUGUUAAAAUUACAGUAUAAAUGUGCUUUUAUUACAUUUCCUUUUCUAUAUUUGGUUCUAAUAUUUUUCCUUUUCUUUCCUUUGUGCGAGUUGGAUCUGGGCCUCUUUCUGGGCUUGGGCUGUUGCUGUCUACAGGCUGGAGACACCCAGCUGGAUCAUAGCUGUCUGAGUUUUGCCGUGUAUAUAUAUUGGAGAUAAGGGUCCUUUGCAAUCAUCAUCUCUGGAACCUUCUCUCUCACUGCAAUUGUGUUCCCUGUGUUCUUUCUUCUUCACCUCACAAGUUCAUUCUUGUCUGUCGACUACAUCUUCGUUCGAGUC